rnacentral:rRNA from 1 species
AGACCGAUAGCGAACAAGUAGAGUGAUCGAAAGAUGAAAAGCACUUUGAAAAGAGAGUUAAACAGCACGUGAAAUUGUUGAAAGGGAAGCGCUUGCGACCAGACUUGUGCUCGUCGAAUCAGCCGUCGCUCGUCGGCGGCGCAUUUCGGCGGGCUCAGGCCAGCAUCAGUUCGCUGUGGGGGAGAAAGGCGGUAGGAAUGUGGCUCCUCGGAGUGUUAUAGCCUACCGUAUAAUACCCCUCGGCGGACUGAGGACCGCGCAUCUGCAAGGAUGCUGGCGUAAUGGUUGUCAGCGACCCGUCUUGAAACACGGACCAAG